rnacentral:rRNA from 1 species
UAAUACGGAGGAUCCAAGCGUUAUCCGGAUUUAUUGGGUUUAAAGGGUGCGUAGGCGGCUUUUUAAGUCAGUGGUGAAAUCUUGCCGCUUAACGGUAAAAUUGCCAUUGAUACUGAUAAGCUUGAGUACAAUUGAGGUAAGCGGAAUGUGUAGUGUAGCGGUGAAAUGCUUAGAUAUUACACAGAACACCGAUUGCGAAGGCAGCUUACUAAACUGUCACUGACGCUGAUGCACGAAAGCGUGGGGAGCGAACAGGAUUAGAUACCCUGGUAGUCCACGCCGUAAACGAUGAUCACUCGCUGUAUGCGAUACACAGUAUGCGGCCAAGCGAAAGCAUUAAGUGAUCCACCUGGGGAGUACGAUCGCAAGGUUGAAACUUAAAGGAAUUGACGG